rnacentral:RNase_P_RNA from 1 species
UGAGCAGGCUGAACGGCCGCCCGGGCAUUGCCCGGGAGGAAAGUCCGAGCUCCAUAGGGCAGGGCGCCGGGUAAUACCCGGUGGAGGCGACUCCAAGGAAAGUGCAACAGAAAUAAACCGCCUUGGCGCUGGUUUCAGCGCCGGGGCAAGGGUGGAAAGGUGAGGUAAGAGCUCACCAGAGCCAUGGCGACUUGGCUGCUAUGUAAACCCCGCCCGGUGCAAGAUUGAUAGUGGGCAUGAUGCGGCGGCCCGCCGCGCCCCAUGUAAUCGCUUGAGCCUGAUGGCAACUUCAGGCCUAGAUAGAUGGCCGUUCUCGACAGAACUCGGCUUACAGGCUUGACUCAAAAC